GAGGCCGUGGUGGAAUCGGCAGACACGCUACUUUGAGGGGGUAGUGACUUCGGUCGUGUGCGUUCAAGUCGCAUCGGCCUCA
rnacentral:tRNA from 1 species